rnacentral:lncRNA from 1 species
GUGAAAAUGCAUCCAGUGGUUGCUCUAUGCGACGACAAAGUUGGCUCCUGCAGUUGCCUGCCAGCUGAUCUUCAAAUGCGCCCUAUUACUCCCUUCCCUGCCCCUGUUACUCCCAUUCCGGUCCCAAUUACUCCCUCUCCUGACCCUAUUAGUCCUGUUCAUGUCCCAAUUAGUCCCGUUCCUGUCCCCGCCAUUAGUCCCUUUCCUGAACCUAUUAGUCGUCAAUGAGUGUCUCACAAAAUUUUUUUGAGAUAGCAAGAAGGUUUAAAUGGCAGGUGUUUGAAUAAAGCUGUCACAAUAGUAAUGAAUCUUGAACUCUUUCUCUAACUACUCUAGUUAUUGAGACAAAGUUUAAUAGACCGGAUAUGAAACUUUAAUUUACAGUCUUACUAAUCAACGAACUAAGUUAU